UACUUUAAAGUUAAAAGUGCUUUUUAAAAAAUAAUAAGGCCAGGCGUGGAGGCUCACGCCUGUAAUCCCAGAACUUUGGGAGACCGAGGCGGGUGGAUCACGAGGUCAGGAGAUCGAGACCAUCCUGGCUAACACGGUGAAACCCUGUCUCCACUAAAAGUACGAAAAAUUAGCUGGGCCUACUCGGGAGGCUGAGGCAGGAGAAUGGCGUAAACCUGGGAGGCAGAGCUUGCAGUGAGCCGAGAUGGCACCACUGCACUCUAGCCUGGGCGAUAUAACAAGACUCUGUCUCAAAAAAUAAUAAUAAUAAUAAUAAUAAUAAUAGGGGCCAGGUAUGGUGGCUCACACCUAUAAUCCUAGCACUUUAGGAGGCUGAGGAGUUUGAGUGCUUGGAGGCCAGGGGUUUCAGGCCAGCCUGGGCAACAUAGCAAGACCCCAUCUCUACAAACAAGUUUUAAAACUUAACCAGGCAUGGUGGUGCAUGCCUGUAGUCCUAGCUAUUGCAGGGACUGAGACAGGAGGAUCACCUGAGCCCAGGAGGUUGAGGCUGCAGUGAGCUGUGAUUGUGUCACUGCACUCCAGCCUGGGCAGCAGUGCAAAACCCUGUCUCAAAGGAAAAAAAAAAACCUAGGAAGUGUUGUUCCCAUGAUAAGGAUCAGCCUCCGUGUGGUGCUUCCUUCACCAUUGCCCAAUCCCCAGGUUCCUGGGUGCUUAAUGUUCCCUCAGGAACACACCUGCUUUGUCUGGGAGAGACCUGGGCGUCUUGGUGGCGGGGUUUGGGGGUACUUGCUCAUGGGCUUAUGGGGCCUCUCUCUGUGUCCCCCCAGGUUUACAAGUCGUCCUGAAGUCGAUCAUGAAGGCGAUGAUCCCUUUGCUGCAGAUCGGCCUCCUCCUAUUUUUUGCAAUCCUUAUUUUUGCAAUCAUAGGGUUAGAAUUUUAUAUGGGAAAAUUUCAUACCACCUGCUUUGAAGAGGGGACAGGUAGGUCCACGGAGCAUGAUGCAUCUUUCCAGUUUUCUCCUUCAGGGACAAGCUCUUGGGAGGAUUAGGCAGGGGUGUGCUUCUUUCUCCUGGCAGCUGGGAGGACCGUCUCCUUCAGAGAGCACUACAGGAGAGGCAGUGAGUGAAAUAGCCUCUGAGAUCUUAGCUGUUGAAAGGGGUGGGGUUCCACGGAAGGUGACCCAGCAGAGAAAGAGUUUAUUUGGGAAUGAUCCCAGGAAGCACCAUCGGGGGAAUGAGGAAGUGAGCAGAGAAAGAAGGGAUCUUUUAAAGAGUGUGCUAUCAAGCGGGUUAUCACUUAAAACUGGGACUGGAUCCCCCUGGGCACCUCUGGGAGACAGCAAGGAACACACAACUCAGCUGGUCACGGUGGCUCACGCCUGUAAUCCCAGCACUUUGGGGGGCCAAGGCGGGUGGAUCACCUGAGAUCAGGAGUCAGAGACCAUCCUGGCCAACAUGGUGAAACCCCAUCUGUACUAAAAAAUACAAAAAUUAGCUGCGUGUGGUGGCAGGCACCUGUAGUCCCAAUUACUCAGGAGGCUGAGGCAGGAGAAUCACUUGAACCCGGGAGGCAGAAGUUGCAGUGAGCCAAGAUCACACCACUGCACUCCAGCCUGGCAAAAGAGUGAGACUCCAUCUCAAAUAAAUAAAUAAAAAUAUAAAUAAAAAAAGAACACACACCUCAGAGCCGUCCCAGCCAAGGGGCAAGGGAGCUGGGGUAUUUAUACACUGGCUUCUUUUUGACAUUGGUGAGGACUGCUCCUAGAGUGGGAAUUAAUGCCUGGCACAUCUGGCUGAGUGGAACAGGUAUUCUGGGUGCUUUCAGACCUCGACCAGUGCUGACUUCUAAAGCAAGCAAGAAUUGGGGAGAGUUGGGCCAGAAAAGGGUUAUUGCCUCAAUGCAUUGUGAGUGGUACCUUGUAGAAGGUGAGAGACAGAGAAGAUUCCAGGCACAGGUGCCAUGCUAAACGAUAGUUCUCAUUUAUUAUAGGAACCCAUGGAUUUAUUUUGUUCUCUGCCCUGAGUGCUGGGUGAGAGUACUGGAUGAGUCCUCCUGGUCUCCCCCAACCCCCAGGAUGUGCCAGAGAUACCCCAAUUGGGAGUCCUGGCACCAACCAAUCAGAACCUAGCACUCAGCAGCAUUCUGCCCCUCUCUGACUAUGCCCACAUUAACCCUUCAGUGGCUGGGUCUGGGGGUAGGGUGAGCCCCGGAAAAGCCAGGCAGCGCAGAGACACUCUCCCAGGGCUCAGCUCUGAACCAGCAGUGUGGAAGCAGUGUGUCCACCACGAUCCACACUCAGGAACCAAAUAGCCCUUGGAUACGUUUUCAGAUAAAUCUUUGCCUGUCCAAACUCUAGCUGCUUGCUCUCUAAAGCUCCAGAAUGAAAUGGAAUCAAGUAGGAAGGGAUGCCUUCAGUAUUUCAGUAUUUGGACCACUGGCCAUCUGGGUGCAGACAGACUGAAUAGCAGUUCUGGUUCUGAUGAUUUGGGUCAAGGGAGCUGUGAAUUGAAGGAGUGGAUAGAAGGAAUCAAGAAGCCCAAAGGGGAACCCAGGUGGGCUGAGAAAGAGGUUUCAGGCCCCUUAUUUGGGAAAGGCAGCCACAGAAGAAGAUUCUGUCUGGGAGUGGAUUUCCACCCACCCUCUCCACCCAGUGACCCCCAAGUGGAUCCGCAGAGGCAGCCCCUGAGCCCUCCCUCCCCACUCCUCCCCAGGGGGAGGGAAAACCCACUGGGGAAGGUUUAUUUGCAAUGGUUGGAGGUUUGGGUUUUUUUGUGGGUUUUGGUUUUUUUUUUUUUUCCUCUUUUUCUCUUGCUCCUCCUGUCUCUUUCUCUCCUGGGCUUGUGAAGUUUGCUCAAUAUGGAAUGUCCUAAUUAUUUCUUUCCCCGAUGAAGAAGGUGUUAAUUGAGGCAGAGCUAUUUCUGCUCCUGGCCUCGUCACCCAGGCGGAAAUGCGAGAGAGAGAGAGAGAGAAUGAAUAUGGGGCAGGGCCACUUGGAAAAAUCAGCCGUGAGCAGAGAAACCAGGACUCCUGGAUCCUAGGUUUCUGUGAAGUUUUAUUUUAUGUUUUUCUACCCUAGACUAGCUAAAGGAGAAGAGGCCAUGGGGUUGGCUUGGGUCCGAGUGGGGUUUUGAGGGGACAGAUGUGGGUGGUGCCACCAGAGGGGAGGAAGCCUCGAUUUAGGAGAAAGACUGAAAAGCUAGCUCACGAUUAAAAAUAUAAGACGUGUGAGUAAGAGACAGAUAUAUACAGACACCCAGGCAGUGGGUUAAUUUUAAAAUGUAUUUAUAACCGAAUUCCUCAGACACUCUGGACGCUUGUUUUUCUAGAAGCAACGCUCAGAGUGUUUCGUGUCGGUGGUUGGGGGGUUGAGGGGGAUUGCAAAGCUGCUAAAGAUAGACCCGUUUUCAGUAGCAUUCCUCAGUGUCGGGAGCCCAGUUCCUGUGUGCCCAGCACCGUGCCAAUCGCUUAGAAGGAAGCAAAGAUAAAGUGGAAGGCUUCCUGCUUUCUAAGAGCUUCCAAAAUAGUUAGAGGAAACAAGACCCCUCAUUUGCAGCCAUUUUUAACAGUGAAGGCUAAUGUGUGAUUAUACCCACGCCCCCCUAAAUAUGAAAAUUCAGUAGCUAUUGUAUGCCUGAAAGGGGCCAGGUGCAGUGGCUCACACCUGUAAUCCCAGCACUUUGAGAGGCUGAGGUGGGAGUAUCCCUUGAGGCCGUUAGUUUGAGACCAGCCUAGGCAACAUAGCCAGACCCUGUCUCUGCUAAAAUAAAAAUUUAAAAAUUGGCUGGGUGCAGUGGCUCACGCCUGUAAUCCCAGCACUUUGGGAGGCCGAGGCAGGCGGAUCAAAAGGUCAGGAGUUCAAGACCAGCCUGGCCAACAU
rnacentral:sRNA from 1 species